UCCUAAAUUGACAGAUAGUGGC
rnacentral:piRNA from 1 species